GAUACGGGACUCAUCCGAGGCCCCGUAAUCGGAAUGAGUACACUUUAAAUCCUUUAACGAGUAUCCAUUGGAGGGCAAGUCUGGUGCCAGCAGCCGCGGUAAUUCCAGCUCCAAUAGCGUAUAUUAAAGUUGUUGCGGUUAAAAAGCUCGUAGUUGGACUUGUGUCCCACGCUGUCGGUUCAUCGCCCGUCGGUGUCAACUGACAUGUCUUGUGGGACGUCCUGUCGGAGGUGGCGAGUCGAAGGAAGGCGCGCCCGCGGUUCCCGUGGGUUGUCGCCGACCCCAGGCGAACCCCGAUCAAAUCCCAUCGUGGUGCUCUUUAACGAGUGUCGUGUUGGGCCGUCACGUUUACUUUGAACAAAUUAGAGUGCUUAAAGCAGGCCUGAAGCGCCUGAAUACUGAGUGCAUGGAAUAAUGGAAUAGGACCUCGGUUCUAUUUUGUUGGUUUUCGGAACCCGAGGUAAUGAUUAAUAGGGACAGUCGGGGGCAUUCGUAUUGCGACGUUAGAGGUGAAAUUCUUGGAUCGUCGCAAGACGGACCGAAGCGAAAGCAUUUGCCAAGUAUGUUUUCAUUAAUCAAGAACGAAAGUUAGAGGUUCGAAGGCGAUCAGAUACCGCCCUAGUUCUAACCAUAAACGAUGCCAGCUAGCGAUCCGCCGCAGUUCCUCCGAUGACUCGGCGGGCAGCUCCCGGGAAACCAAAGCUUUUGGGUUCCGGGGGAAGUAUGGUUGCAAAGCUGAAACUUAAAGGAAUUGACGGAAGGGCACCACCAGGAGUGGAGCCUGCGGCUUAAUUUGACUCAACACGGGAAACCUCACCAGGCCCGGACACUGGAAG
rnacentral:rRNA from 1 species